CAGUCGCCGCGGUAAUACGUAGGGUGCAAGCGUUAAUCGGAAUUACUGGGCGUAAAGCGUGCGCAGGCGGUUUGUUAAGACAGAUGUGAAAUCCCCGGGCUCAACCUGGGAACUGCAUUUGUGACUGGCAAGCUAGAGUGUGGCAGAGGGGGGUGGAAUUCCGCGUGUAGCAGUGAAAUGCGUAGAUAUGCGGAGGAACACCGAUGGCGAAGGCAGCUCCAUGGGCCAAUACUGGCGCUCAUGCACGAAAGCGUGGGGAGCAAACAGGAUUAGAUACCCCAGUAGUCCCUGUCUCUUAUAC
rnacentral:rRNA from 1 species